rnacentral:rRNA from 1 species
UACGUAGGGUGCAAGCGUUGUCCGGAAUUAUUGGGCGUAAAGAGCUCGUAGGCGGUCAGUCGCGUCUGCUGUGAAAACUCGGGGCUUAACUCCGGGCCUGCAGUGGGUACGGGCUGACUAGAGUGCGGUAGGGGAGACUGGAAUUCCUGGUGUAGCGGUGAAAUGCGCAGAUAUCAGGAGGAACACCAAUGGCGAAGGCAGAUCUCUGGGCCGUAACUGACGCUGAGGAGCGAAAGCAUGGGGAGCGAACAGG